GUGGGUAACCUGCCUGUAAGACUGGGAUAACUCCGGGAAACCGGGGCUAAUACCGGAUGCUUGUUUGAACCGCAUGGUUCAAACAUAAAAGGUGGCUUCGGCUACCACUUACAGAUGGACCCGCGGCGCAUUAGCUAGUUGGUGAGGUAAUGGCUCACCAAGGCAACGAUGCGUAGCCGACCUGAGAGGGUGAUCGGCCACACUGGGACUGAGACACGGCCCAGACUCCUACGGGAGGCAGCAGUAGGGAAUCUUCCGCAAUGGACGAAAGUCUGACGGAGCAACGCCGCGUGAGUGAUGAAGGUUUUCGGAUCGUAAAGCUCUGUUGUUAGGGAAGAACAAGUACCGUUCGAAUAGGGCGGUACCUUGACGGUACCUAACCAGAAAGCCACGGCUAACUACGUGCCAGCAGCCGCGGUAAUACGUAGGUGGCAAGCGUUGUCCGGAAUUAUUGGGCGUAAAGGGCUCGCAGGCGGUUUCUUAAGUCUGAUGUGAAAGCCCCCGGCUCAACCGGGGAGGGUCAUUGGAAACUGGGGAACUUGAGUGCAGAAGAGGAGAGUGGAAUUCCACGUGUAGCGGUGAAAUGCGUAGAGAUGUGGAGGAACACCAGUGGCGAAGGCGACUCUCUGGUCUGUAACUGACGCUGAGGAGCGAAAGCGUGGGGAGCGAACAGGAUUAGAUACCCUGGUAGUCCACGCCGUAAACGAUGAGUGCUAAGUGUUAGGGGGUUUCCGCCCCUUAGUGCUGCAGCUAACGCAUUAAGCACUCCGCCUGGGGAGUACGGUCGCAAGACUGAAACUCAAAGGAAUUGACGGGGGCCCGCACAAGC
rnacentral:rRNA from 1 species